UUUUAAUGAGAGUUUGAUCCUGGCUCAGGACGAACGCUGGCGGCGUGCCUAAUACAUGCAAGGAGAACGCUGAUGUUUGGUGUUUACACUAGACUGAUGAGUUGCGAACGGGUGAGUAACGCGUAGGUAA
rnacentral:rRNA from 1 species